rnacentral:lncRNA from 1 species
GGGAAGCCCUAUAGGGGCGCGGCACCGGUUUUGAAAGCGAGGCUGCUGGGACGACGACGACUCGUGCAGCAAAGGUGCUCCCGACCACGAGUUCUUCGAGUUCUUCGAGUUCUUCUGCUUCCCGGACGGACGCAGCGAGAGACCGGCGAGUUGCCAUGUCUCCCAGCAACACCCUUGGGUACAGAGCUAGCUUUGCCGAAGAGGCAAAGGUCAUUUCGGAGCAGCUGCAAGGUCAGGGGGGAGCAGAUAUAUCUACCAUAGAAGCCGAGCUCCCACCUCCCGACUUGAGUUCCUCCGCCUCUUUUCUGGACCUACCAAGCAGUGACGAGGCCCAGGGCUCCCAUUGGGACCUCCACCCCAUAUGGAGCUCCAGAAGGGCUGAGGCUGCUUGAAGGGGCAUCUUUUUUCUCCUUCCCAGAGAUCCCCCAAGCUCAGGAAGCACCCGGUGUGGCUGAGGCGGCCCAGCCCAGUGCCAGACGCCCCCAGAGGCCUCGAGUAGCCACAGGCAGCCCGCCUAAGGCCACCCCAAAAAGUGGCCCUCUGGGGAAGCUGGGCCAGGAGAACCGAUCCCUGGCUGGGGCCUCUUUAGCUGUUUCCAGGAGGGGGCAUCAGGCCCUUCCUCUGCCUGGGCAGAAAAGAUGGUCACCUGUCCCCUUCAAAACUUCCCACUUGCCUGUCCUGUGCAAGUCCAGAAGGGAACCCUUGGCAUCUCCAGGAGCUAGGCAGCAGAAAGGCAGGAUCUGUGAGGCGGGCAGGAUGAAGGAAGCAGAACCACCUGCCAAGGCAGGGAAUAAUCCACCCUCGGCAGUCAAGGUGUCUCAAGUGAGUAGCUGCCCUCUCCUGUGUCUGGCACUGCCGUGAUGCACUUACUUCCUAGGCAUUUGUGUCCUUGAGGGGGAAGGUCAGCCUGUUACACUGGGAGAGGAGAUGCUUGUCAAUUGACUGACAAGGUAGAAGCUGAAGAAGGAAGGGAGGCUGGCCACUGAGAGGUGCCCAUGCACCACAUGCACAGUGCCUGGUUUGUGUCAGUGCUUAUUCCCCAAGCCAGGAACUCCAGGUUCAUCGGGA